rnacentral:lncRNA from 1 species
AGUAUACUUUGGAGGCUCUUAUGAUUUUCUUACUUGGUUCUCUUUUCCACUGUAUUCAGGGUAGCCCAGCAGUUCGCGUAUCCACUCAGAUAGAACAUCUUUCUAUAUAUGUGAAAAACCAAGCUCAUUUGUUGAAAGCCCGAAAUAUAGGAUUAUCUCCUUCCUUGGGUGGGAGUCCGAUAGAAUGAAAUCUCAUUAUGACAAUACUGAUAACAAGAAGCGGGAAAUACAGAAAUCAAACAGUGGACUCCAGGUGCUAGAGAUAGAUUCCACUCAAACUUAUUAAUGCGCUAAAGGAAGUACCAUGUAUAAGAAUUGAAACAAGUAGACUAAGAAGAGGAAUGCGCUGAAGAAAGUGUACCUAAGCCAUAGAUUACGUACCUUUACUUUAAGUCUCACGUCUGAAAUAUCAGAAUGGAAGUCAAGAGGACUUAGUGAGUUUAGAUCCCUUGAAGUCAAGAGGACUUGGUGAGUUUAGAUCCCUCGGUUAGUGAGUUACCCGCUGCUAG